UACGUAGGGUGCGAGCGUUAAUCGGAAUUACUGGGCGUAAAGCGCACGUAGGCGGCUUUGCAAGUUAGAGGUGAAAGCCCGGGGCUCAACUCCGGAAUUGCCUUUAAAACUGCAUCGCUAGAAUUGUGGAGAGGUAAGUGGAAUUCCGAGUGUAGAGGUGAAAUUCGUAGAUAUUCGGAAGAACACCAGUGGCGAAGGCGACUUACUGGACACAUAUUGACGCUGAGGUGCGAAAGCGUGGGGAGCAAACAGGG
rnacentral:rRNA from 1 species